UCCUCGUUUAAGCGAGGCAGUCUGUCCAGAGUGCUUCGAACUCUCGUUCGAGUGGCAACAGGACACAAGGGUUGCGCUCGUUGCGGGACUUAACCCAACAUCUCACGACACGAGCUGACGACAGCCAUGCAGCACCUGUGCACGCUCCCCUUGCGGGGUCGUUACGCUUUCACGCUUCUACCACGUGCAUGUCAAGGCCAGGUAAGGUUCUUCGCGUUGCAUCGAAUUAAGCCACAUACUCCACCGCUUGUGCAGGCCCCCGUCAAUUUCUUUGAGUUUUAAUCUUGCGACCGUACUCCAACAACUAGUCAUCAUCGUUUAGGGCGUGGACUAC
rnacentral:misc_RNA from 1 species